rnacentral:lncRNA from 1 species
GUAGUUAGUUUGGUGGGUUUCAUCAAGGAAUGAAAAAUGAGAAUGGUGAGCUAAUGUUUCAUUGUUUUUGUUACUAUUUUUGGGAAUUUUGUGGUGAGGCCUUGUUCAGGUUUAGGUCUAGGUCUAGGUCUAGGUCGGUUGGUGGUUAUGGAAGUUGGGUAUCAUUUACUUUUGGUCACCUCUGCACAGGUUGGUGGUUUG